rnacentral:rRNA from 1 species
GUCGUAACAAGGUCUCCGUAGGUGAACCUGCGGAGGGAUCAUUACACAAAUAUGAAGGCGGGCUGGAACCUCUCGGGGUUACAGCCUUGCUGAAUUAUUCACCCUUGUCUUUUGCGCACUUCUUGUUUCCUUGGUGGGUUCGCCCACCACUAGGACAAACAUAAACCUUUUGUAAUUGCAAUCAGCGUCAGUAACAAAUUAAUAAUUACAACUUUCAACAACGGAUCUCUUGGUUCUGGCAUCGAUGAAGAACGCAGCGAAAUGCGAUAAGUAGUGUGAAUUGCAGAAUUCAGUGAAUCAUCGAAUCUUUGAACGCACAUUGCGCCCUUUGGUAUUCCAAAGGGCAUGCCUGUUCGAGCGUCAUUUGUACCCUCAAGCUUUGCUUGGUGUUGGGCGUCUUGUCUCUAGCUUUGCUGGAGACUCGCCUUAAAGUAAUUGGCAGCCGGCCUACUGGUUUCGGAGCGCAGCACAAGUCGCACUCUCUAUCAGCAAAGGUCUAGCAUCCAUUAAGCCUUUUUUUCAACUUUUGACCUCGGAUCAGGUAGGGAUACCCGCUGAACUUAAGCAUAUCA